UGGCCUACGGGAGGCAGCAGUGAGGAAUAUUGGUCAAUGGUCGGGAGACUGAACCAGCCAAGCCGCGUGAGGGAUGAAGGUACAGAGUAUCGUAAACCUCUUUUGUCAGGGAACAAAGGCGGGACUCGUCCCCGGAUGAGUGUACCUGAAGAAAAAGCAUCGGCUAACUCCGUGCCAGCAGCCGCGGUAAUACGGAGGAUGCGAGCGUUAUCCGGAUUUAUUGGGUUUAAAGGGUGCGCAGGCGGUCUGUUAAGUCAGCGGUCAAAGCCCGGGGCUCAACCCCGGCCCGCCGUUGAAACUGAUGA
rnacentral:rRNA from 1 species